CCUACGGGUGGCAGCAGUAGGGAAUUUUGCGCAAUGGGGGAAACCCUGACGCAGCAACACCGCGUGAAUGUUAAGCCCUUCGGGGUGUAAAGUUCUGUCAAUAGGGACGAAUUUUGACUGUACCUAUAAAGGAAGCACCGGCUAACUCCGUGCCAGCAGCCGCGGUAAUACGGAGGGUGCGAGCGUUAAUCGGAAUUACUGGGCGUAAAGCGCUCGUAGGCGGUAUGUCAAGUCAAGGGUGAAAUCCCCGCGCUCAACGUGGGAACUGCCUUUGAAACUGGCAAACUGGAGUGUGUGAGAGGAUAGUGGAAUUCCAGGUGUAGGAGUGAAAUCCGUAGAUAUCUGGAGGAACAUCAGUGGCGAAGGCGACUAUCUGGCACAUAACUGACGCUGAGGAGCGAAAGCGUGGGUAGCAAACAGGAUUAGAUACCCGUGUAGUC
rnacentral:rRNA from 1 species